rnacentral:lncRNA from 1 species
UUCAAUAACAGUCUAAAAUUAAAAAGUUAGUUAUGCUAAUUGUUCUAAAUUUUCUACUGGAUCAUACACAUCCUUUAUCACUCUGGAUUAGAAUACCUGAAUAUGCUGAUAAGGUUAAUGAUUGCAUCAGCCCUCUCCUAUAGCCACAUGCAUCACUGCCUAUACAGUGAUGUAAAACAUGAGAGGUACCAGGAGAGGCCACCAGAGAUCAUUAACAGAUAACAUAUUGGACAACAUGUUGGACAGAGUCACAUAAUAAAUGUCAACCUAAGUCAAGGGGAGAUAAUUCAGAUACAAUCAAACAAAAACUAGUAUAUCAAUAUAUAUAUAUAACAAUAGCAAUAAACAUAGAUAGUACUUUUAAGAUGCACACAAAUCACUGUCCAGUUGUGAUGUGCAUCAACAUAUUAUUAAUUCUACAUGAACUAUUAUAAAGCCUUAAGUAAGUACAUAAAUAGAAAGAUCUCUCCUCAC